GUCCCGUCCUCCGCGCCGCUCCUCCCCGCGCCCGCCGGGCCCUCCCCGGACCGGGCGCCCGAACGGACGGGAAACGUUAAAUAGGCGGCGCCGAUCGCGGAAGAGAAAGAGAAGAGGAGAGACUCACCUGCAGCAGCAUGUCGCGGGUGUCGAGUCGACGAAGUCGCUGGAUGCCCUCGUGGAUGUCGUGCAGGCGUCGCAGGUUGUCCUCUGCAAAGAGAAACGAAUAGGGAUAUAUUUUCAAUCUAAGAAAUAGAACAGAAUAUUAAUAGAAUGGAAUGAAUUCAUUAUUAAACGAAUCUCUUGGCAAAUCAAUGUAUGCUGGAUAUUUACUAGAAAAAUUACAAAAUCAAAAACUAAUUCCUAAGCUUGAAAGAGGUGAAUGCGAGGUCAUGCCAACGGCUGGAAUUAUCUUUGGACAAUGAUAACUUUUAAUGGAUUGAAAAUUUUCCAAUAUGGUUGGUAUUUGACUUUUUUGUUCUAUUUCUAAAAUAAAUAACAAUUAGCAUAUUUUAUCAUAUUGUAUAAAAAGCAUUCUUGUAUAGUUAAUGAUCUAAAAGCAAAACAUAAAAAAGUUAUUGCUGAAUUUUAGUUUAUGGUGUAUACUUAAUAAAACUUUUUAACAUGUAACACUUUAACAUGUACUUUUAUAAAUACUUAAAGAAUGUAAGUAACUUUUCUAUUUUAUUCAGCUGAAAUAAACUUAUGACUCUAAUUAAGAAGGAAAACAAUGCUUGUUCUUUUCAAACUUAAUGAAGUAAAUAAACUUUCAACAUAUUAUUUGCAUAUUUAACCUUAUAACUUCAACUACAUACAGAAGGCCUUAACUUCCAAAAAAUACUUAAAUUCUAAUAUUUUUGGCAUGCUUUAUACCAUUCUCAAGCCAUCAUGUAGGAAAUAGAUUAGGAUUAUCUGUUAUUCUGUUCUAUUUCCUAUGUGCCAUGUUCGUAGGUGAAAAAUUAGCAGUUAAAUAGUAUUUUUCUGUAAAUUUUAGCCUUUUAUAAAUUAAUUAAAAAAUUACAU